UACAGAGAGUGCAAGCGUUGUUCGGAAUUAUUGGGCGUAAAGCGCGUGUAGGCGGCUUUGCAAGUCGGGUGUGAAAGCCCUCAGCUCAACUGAGGAAGUGCGCCCGAAACUGCAGAGCUUGAGUACCGGAGAGGAUGGCGGAAUUCCCCAAGUAGAGGUGAAAUUCGUAGAUAUGGGGAGGAACACCGGUGGCGAAGGCGGCCAUCUGGACGGAUACUGACGCUGAGACGCGAAAGCGUGGGUAGCAAACAGG
rnacentral:rRNA from 1 species